ensembl:lncRNA
GUCUGAUUGGCUGCUCUGGGGCUGGGCCCACAGUGGCCAGAGGUCAGGUGCCUCCAGAACUGCAUGUGAAGGGCAGGGGGCCAGCCUCAGAGAGAGGAGAACCGAGGUGCUCUGAGCAGAAGAGGCUAUGCACUGAUUGGGCAGAGCAACAGGUGUUACCCUAGAGCCGUCAUGUGCUGUUAACAGAAAUGCCAUGUGCUCUCUCUUACAGGACUCCUCUCCGAAGACCCAGGCUGGCAGACAUUGUCACCAACCACGUGGGGAAUUGAAGCAAAGGCCUCUGAAACUGCAAAACCCACUGAAAUGGAUUUUGAGAAGAAUACCCAGGUGUCUGGCUGCACAACCCACCUCGAUGCUUCGCUUCUGGGAGCCCUAGUGAACUGUGUACCACAUGGGGAAAGGAGUGUGCUGAGUCCAGAAAGCCUUAAAGAAGAUGGGGUCAUGAUGAAAGGUAUGAGAAGAAGGGGUCAAGGCAGUGCUUUCCAACUGAAAUGCCUCAGAAGACCAGCUUCUGGGAGCCCGCUUCUAAAUGAUCAAUUCCAAUCUCAUUAUGACCGCAGCUGCCAUUAACUCAGGAGCUAAUUGCUAUUAGCUUAUAGAAACUCAAGAGGGUUUAGCUUCAAAAAUUCCACGACACGGGGCCAUCUCACUGCUUAAAUGGCCACAUUGCUGUUAUUAAUUCCUUUUGACUAUUAGCUUAUUACUGUUAAGUUAUUAUAACUUUGUAUGAAGUCCUUGAACCAGAUGCAUGUCCUCCACACACAUUUCAUCACAGGGAGCAGAGUGCACCCAGAGGUUCAAUAUUUUAAUUUCCAUUUUUCUUUAAGGUAUAGGCUUAUUAAGAGGCAUCAGGAAGCUCCUUGAUUUUGAAGACAGGUUCCGUAAGCAAAGGCUGUAACAAAAACCAGACUGUUCCACAUUUUUAUGCAGUUAAGGUCUUGGCAAAUGUAGAGCGAAUCUGGGUAACAGCAAAGCUUCGCCCUGGAAGGGCCUUGGAGACUUGAGUUCAUUCUCAUGUUACGUUGGGGGAAACUGAGGAUAGGAGAUGGGUUCAGGACUCAGGUAAGGUAAAAUGCCAGGUCUGCACUGGCCAGAUGACAGCAUCUGAAAUAGCCAGGUCGUUGUUUCAGAGAAGUUAAAAGUCUGCUGAGGAUGCCAAAUUUGCAAGAUUACCAAUGCUAGACAAUUACAGCAGGGUCCCUCAUAUUCCCUGCGAAAGAUACCUACGUGCUAAGAAAUGGGCCAAGACACAAUCCUUUACUCCUUUUUAGCAGAGAGCCAGCUGGCUGGAGAGCUACAUGACAGUGUGUGAAAUUAGACAUAUUUAACGGGUGACGACAAGGUUCUUUCUGUCUAUGUUCAGAAGCCUCCCUUAACGAGAUCCAGUCGGUCUGUUAAGAAAAUAAGAGUGUGUGCAAUUACCAAGUUCCCCGUUUGUUUUUGUUUAACUUUGUAGCUUC